rnacentral:rRNA from 1 species
UACGGAGGGUGCGAGCGUUGUCCGGAAUCACUGGGCGUAAAGGGCGCGUAGGCGGCGCGAGCAGUCAACGGUGAAAGCCCGGGGCUCAACCCCGGGUCGGCCGUCGAUACUCUCGUGCUUGAGCACUGUAGAGGCAGGUGGAAUUCCGGGUGUAGCGGUGGAAUGCGUAGAGAUCCGGAAGAACACCGGUGGCGAAGGCGGCCUGCUGGGCAGUAGCUGACGCUGAGGCGCGACAGCGUGGGGAGCAAACAGG